rnacentral:rRNA from 1 species
GCCUGGCCCUAAAUCUUGAUACUUACUACUACCGAAGUAUCCGCCAGAGAACUACGAGCACAAACGCUUAAAACUCUAAGGACUUGGCGGUGCCCUAAACCCACCUAGAGGAGCCUGUUCUGUAAUCGAUGAUCCACGAUCAACCCGACCGCCCCUUGCCAAACACAGCCUACAUACCGCCGUCGCCAGCCCACCUCGAAUGAGAGCACAGCAGUGGGCACAACAGCAUCCCCCCGCUAGCAAGACAGGUCAAGGUAUAGCCUAUGGGACGGAAGAAAUGGGCUACAUUCCCUGUACACAGGGCAGCACGGAAAGAAGCAUGAAACUGCUUCUAGAAGGAGGAUUUAGCAGUAAAAUGGGAUAAUAGAGCCCAUUUUAAGCCGGCCCUAGGGCACGU